UACGGAGGGUGCAAGCGUUAUCCGGAUUUACUGGGUUUAAAGGGUGUGUAGGCGGGCUAUUAAGUCAGUGGUGAAAUCUCCGGGCUCAACCUGGAAACUGCCAUUGAUACUAUUAGGCUUGAAUUCUGUUGAGGUGGGCGGAAUAAGUCAUGUAGCGGUGAAAUGCAUAGAUAUGACUUAGAACACCAAUGGCGAAGGCAGCUCGCUAAACAGACAUUGACGCUGAGGCACGAAAGCGUGGGGAGCAAACAGG
rnacentral:rRNA from 1 species